UACGUAGGUGCCAAGCGUUGUCCGGAUUUAUUGGGCGUAAAGCGCCCGCAGGCGGCUUGCCAAGUCUGACGUGAAAUCUCCCGGCUCAACUGGGAGGGUGCAUCGGAAACUGGCAGGCUUGAGGCAGGGAGAGGGAUGUGGAACUCCGAGUGUAGAGGUGAAAUUCGUAGAUAUUCGGAAGAACACCAGUGGCGAAGGCGGCUCACUGGCCCGGUACUGACGCUGAGGUGCGAAAGCGUGGGGAGCAAACAGG
rnacentral:rRNA from 1 species